UACGUAGGGUGCGAGCGUUGUCCGGAAUUAUUGGGCGUAAAGGGCUCGUAGGCGGUCUGUCACGUCGGGAGUGAAAACACGGGGCUUAACCCCGUGCCUGCUUCCGAUACGGGCAGACUAGAGGUAUGCAGGGGAGACUGGAAUUCCUGGUGUAGCGGUGGAAUGCGCAGAUAUCAGGAGGAACACCGAUGGCGAAGGCAGGUCUCUGGGCCAUUACUGACACUGAGAAGCGAAAGCAUGGGGAGCGAACAGG
rnacentral:rRNA from 1 species